GACACAGAAAGAGCACAGAUAAAGUUACCAGUAUCUGGAACAAAAUCAGCAGGGUACCUCUACAUUAACUCAGAGAUGGACCAUUCCCGCCAAUGCUGGUGUCUUCAGGAUGUCACCUUGAAACUGCGGGAUGGGCAGAAUAUUCCUGUUUACCACUCCCCAGUGGAGAGCAUCGGUGUGCAAGAAGGCUAAAAAUCAAAAGCAGCUGCUUCACCUCCCACUGAGCUGAAGGAGUCAUUAAUCGAUCUCAUCCCACUGUGCCCAUGAAUGUACACAGUUGUCACAAGUGACAAUUUCACUUAAGUGGGUGUUCUCAGGACAAUUUAUCCGAGAUUGACUUCAUCAUUGUAAUUUCUUUCUUUUGCUGGUUUACUCAUGUGUUCAGCAGAGCCUAAAAUAAAGAUAUUGCAAAAGACUUGCUGUUCCA
rnacentral:lncRNA from 14 species